AGUGAGACUAAAAUGGACAGAGUUGUUAUUAACAAAGCAAAACCUAAUGAUGCAAGUGCAUCGACAUCCACCACCAGUGCAGACAGUGGCAUUGAUUCUU